GGAAGCACCUCCCCAGGCCUGGCUGUGCGUGGGAAUGGCUGGGGAGCUGGGAGGCAGUCCCAAGAGUGGACCCACGCCCGGGGUUCUGAGCUCAUCUGGAGGUUCUUGAACCUCUCCCCAGGGGAGGCUAGGGUGUGCCGGGCAGGAGAGCCACGACUUUAACCUCACCGGAGCUCAGCCUGGGCAGGGGAUUCCACGCGACCAUGACGGAGAAGAAGCCAAGGAGGCCAAGGAGAACGGGGGCCUGAGGCCGCACCUGGUGGUCUCCUCCCCACCGAAGGGCGAGACGCGGGCCCUCUUCUGGGUUUGCGUUGACACCUCUCUCCUUUCAAUCCAAAGCUCAAGUGCUGCCUGGAAAUGGAGUCUGCAGCCCCCCUGGGUGGACCUCCAUUCUUCUGGCUCUUUGGGGCAUCCUGGGUGAGCGGGAGAGUGUGUGUGUGUGUGUGCACCCACGUAUCCCAUGUGCACACGCGUGUGCGCUCCACCAGAAGCAGAGCCCGGUGUCCUUGCUGAGACUCUGGUACUCUCUGUCCUGCCCUUCGAUGCUCUUGCUGCGCCUCAGCCGUGGUGAAGAUUGAGAGAAUCUAGGACAGUGAAUUUCCUCAGAGGGACGAGAAGGUCACAAGGAAAGUCUGCUGCCCUCCACAUCCUCAGUGUUCUAGAACAGGACUGAGGCGAGUUUGAGAAGCUAAAAGCAAUUGGAUAAUUGACCUGUUUUUUUUUUUUUUUUAAUAAACGCAGGAGCCCUGUUCUUCGCUGGAACACAAAAAUGUUUGUGACUUUGAAAAGAAAUAUUGUCUGACUUGUUUUGCCGUCAGCAGAAAUGCUGGCUUCGCUCCCGACCCCUCCUAGCGAAGCCACCAGACAGGACAGACAGGCCUGCCCUUGGCGUUGACAGGGAGGCUGGACCAGCAGCCAGGGCUGGGGAGGCGGGUUAGGCCCUCCUGGGGUGGUGGCCUCCUGGGGGUCACAGCCUCCUGUCCCAGGACCCCGACAGGCUCAGACACCCUGGCGGCCUCGUGCUGUGGGAACAGCAGCCUGGGCCUGAGGAGUUGGGUGGAGGGUGGCUCCCGUGCAGGGGUCAGGUCAGUCCUGACCUCCCUGAGCUGGGGGACCUGGCGUCAGAGCUGGCCUGGAUCGGGCACGCAGUCCGUGACGGAUGGAUGAACACGGACACUCUCGUGGGUGGGUGGACCCUCCUCCUGCUGCCCACACUGUCUGAAGGUCAUGAGCCAUGGAUCUUCUCUGAGCCGUCCGUUUCCUGGGCAGUAAUUAGAUACCUGCUUGGACGAAUUGGUUGAGGAUUUGGGGUCCAGUUAAGGCAUCUUGACGUGCUCUGGACGUUAGAUGUGACAAAAUCUUACUGAAAAAAGAAGGUGUGAGAACCGCGCACCAUGUCCAUAGCACAGUCUGUCUGGGUUGAAAAAUGUGUGCAUGCACGAAUUCCAAUCACAGCUCCCCCCAGAUAUUGUCAAAAUGGCCACUGAGGACGCAGGCGGGUCUCAGGCUGGGGCUCUCGCUCUGUGCGGUGCUCUUCCUGGAAGAUUUCCCAUGUUCCUAUGACGACGAGUUGCCUGGGUGAUGUGCGCACAGUAGGAACUUCCUCUUCAUGGCUGUGGAGGCUGGACCCGAGACCCGGGAGGCAGCAUGGUGGGCCCUGAUGGGGCCGCUCCCCAGGCUGCAGGCUGCCCGGCCUCUGUGUGUCCUCACGACGGGGAGAGAAACCCUGGAGCUCUCUGGGGUCCUGUUGUAAGGACGCUGACCCCCUCCGAGGGCACCACUUGUGACCUGAUCCCCUCCCUAAGGCCCCCUCCUUGGACCACCGCAAUAAUUUCUUUCAUUCAAAACUACAUUAAAAAAUACAAACACACACUCACAAGGACACCCUUUCUGUCUUGUCACACACGUCGCCAGGCCAUUCAGAGUCAGAUGGCUGAGAUGCGGCUGCCUCCUGUUCAUCAUGAACUCAGGCCUCUCAACACUGAGCCAUGGUUCAUGCUAUUCCUUUACAGGUGAGGAACCAGGAGCUCAGAGAAACCAAGCAACUUGUCCAAGGUCGCACAGCAGGAAGGGAAGUGUGGGCGAGCUUUGGACAAAGACAUGCAGAGCCCGUGCCCUUAAGCUUCCCCUGUUCGGCUGCAUCCUCAUAAAGACAAAAAAAGCAAC